rnacentral:tRNA from 3 species
GUCUAUAUAGAUUAUAUUUAAAUCGUGAUGCUGUUAACUUCAAGAAGAGAUUUAUUCUCUAUAGUCG